ACACGUAUGAAAGACAAGCUGAAAGACUUUUCUCAAUGAUGUAAGUGGUGGUGCAUGGUCGUUCUUAGUUCGUGGAGUGAUUUGUCUGGUCUAUUCCGAUAACGAGCGAGACCCCGACGUUCCUAAUAGGGGUAGCAGCCCGGCUCGGCCGCAAGGCCUUGUUAGCCGCUACCUCAUACAAGCUUCUUAGACGUAUCAGAGCCGAUAAGGUUCUUGAAAUGGGUUAAUAACAGGUCAGUCAUGCCCUUAGAUGUUCUGGGCCGCACGCGCGUUACAAUGGCAUGUAAAGAAAGUGCUCACAAGGGCGUAUCCGCGGCUCUACGGGUCGCGGUAACCCUUAGUCCCUGCCUUGACUGGGACAGACUAUUGUAAUUAUUGGUCUCAAACGAGGAAUUUUUAGUAGUCGCAGGUCAUUAGCCUGCGACGA
rnacentral:rRNA from 1 species